GGCUCGGUAGCGCAGAGGCAGGCGCACCUUCAUCGCAUGAAGGGAACGUCGGUUCGAAUCCGACCCGGUCCAC
rnacentral:tRNA from 1 species